rnacentral:rRNA from 1 species
AACGAACGCUGGCGGCAUGCUUAACACAUGCAAGUCGAACGAGACCUUCGGGUCUAGUGGCGCACGGGUGCGUAACGCGUGGGAACCUGCCCUUAGGUUCGGAAUAACUCCCCGAAAGGGGUGCUAAUACCGGAUAAUGUCUUCGGACCAAAGAUUUAUCGCCUUUGGAUGGGCCCGCGUUGGAUUAGCUAGUUGGUAGGGUAAAAGCCUACCAAGGCGACGAUCCAUAGCUGGUCUGAGAGGAUGAUCAGCCACACUGGGACUGAGACACAGCCCAGACUCCUACGGGAGGCAGCAGUGGGGAAUAUUGGACAAUGGGCGAAAGCCUGAUCCAGCAAUGCCGCGUGAGUGAUGAAGGCCUUAGGGUUGUAAAGCUCUUUUACCCGGGAUGAUAAUGACAGUACCGGGAGAAUAAGCUCCGGCUAACUCCGUG